UUCUUCUAAUGACUUCUCCAAGUAGUUAGUACACCUGAACUACACGAUAGACUAUUAGAAAUGAUUGAGCCAUCAAAGCCAAACACACACACGGCUGCAGUACUUGUACCAAUGUGGUAUGCAUCGUAGCUUUUGUGUGAAUGCUAAUCCUAGAAAGCAAGUGGGAACUUACUUGAUUUAGGUCUCUUAUUCUCCUAGGCUCAUAUGUCAUUUCAUCUCGAUCAUACUUCUACCACCGCCAAUGUGAAGGUUGUAUCAGUACGAGUGCCAAAGCCAAAGCAAUGCAACAACUACAACCGGUGAAGAAUCUCCCACAGCUCCACAUUGUUCCCCGAAGAAUGUACUCUUCUUUACUCUCUGCUGCAUCCUUUCCCACCGCAUUCAAACGUUACCAAAGAAGGAAGGGGAGAAUCGUCAAACGUGAGACUUCCAUCAGACAAAAUCUAGCCUUAUCCCCGACCCAAUCCAACCCUCCCUCAACCUCUCGUUUCCCUCGCUCGUCUUCCCUACUUCCUCACCAUCCACACCUCCAACUCAGGCACCAACAUACACUCUCCCCUUCUUCUUCUUCUUCGUUCCACUCGGCUUGUUGCUAGUGACAAGCAUGUCUUGCUCCAACCUCACCGCAAUGUGGGCUUCCCCAAAGACGUGCGACCUCGACCACCUCUCCUCGCCCCCUUCCGACUCCUCUCGGCCGCUCCCGCGCCGGCCUCGUAGCCCUGCCUGCCGCCUUCCACCGCCGUGCACUGCGGUCUCCGCGAGCUCCGCGACCACAUCGACUCCGUGAAGAACACCCAGAAGAUCACGGAGGCCAUGAAGCUCGUAGCGGCGGCCAAGGUCCGCCGCGCCCAGGAGGCCGUCGUCAGUGGACGACCCUUCUCUGAAACCCUCGUCGAGGUGCUCUACAACAUCAACGAGCAGAUGCAGACGGAGGACGUGGACGUGCCCCUCACCCGCGUUCACCCCGUCCGCAAGAUCGCCCUCGUGGUGGUUACCGCCGAUCGUGGCCUCUGUGGCGGCUACAACAAUAACAUCAUCAAAAAGGCGGAGCAGCGCAUCAGGGAGCUCUCCGCCCUGGGCAUCGCCUACACCGUCAUCAGCGUGGGGAAGAUGGGUAACAGCUACUUCCAGCGCCGCCCCAACAUCCCCGUCGAUCGCUUCCUCGAGGUCGGCAGCCUGCCCACCACCAAGGAGGCCCAGGCCAUCGCCGACGACGUCUUCUCCCUCUUCGUCAGCGAGGACGUCGACAAGGUGGAGCUCCUCUACACCAAGUUCGUCUCCCUCGUCAAGUCUGACCCGGUCAUCCACACGCUCCUCCCGCUCUCCCCCAAGGGCGAGAUCUGCGACGUCAACGACGUCUGCGUCGACGCCGCCGAGGACGAGCUCUUCCGCCUCACCACCAACGAACGGAAGCUGACGGUGGAGCGGGAGACGGUGCGCACCCCGACGCCCGCCUUCUCCCCCAUCCUUCAGUUCGAGCAGGACCCGGUGCAGAUCCUGGACGCGCUGCUGCCGCUCUACCUCAACAGCCAGAUCCUGAGGGGCCCUGCAGGAGUCGCUGGCGAGCUCGCUCGCCGCGAGGAUGACCGCUAUGAGCAACGCCACCGACAACGCCGUGGAGCUGAGGAGGACGCUCUCCAUCGUCUACAACCGGGAGCGGCAGGUCAAGAUCACCGGUGGGAUAUUGGAGAUUGUCGCAGGCGCCGACGCCCUCUCCUAAUUAGUCUGUUCCAUUCUUCUUCUUCUUCUUGUGUUACAAGUCUUGUGCUACACGGGGCUGCAACUUAUCCAAAUGUUUACGAGGAAGGCAUGCAACUAUGAAUUCUCAAAAAGAAGAUAGAUAUAUCCAUCAUCACCUUAUUAUUA